GAUAAACGCUGGCGGCGUGCAUGAGACAUGCAAGUCGAACGAACGAGCUUGCUCGUUAGUGGCGGACGGCUGAGUAACGCGUAGGUGACCUGCCCCGAAGUGGGGGAUAACUGCCCGAAAGGGUGGCUAAUACCGCAUGUGGCGACACUUUCAUUGGUGUCAUCAAAGCCGCGAGGCGCUUCGGGAGGGGCCUGCGUCCGAUUAGCUCGUUGGUGGGGUAAUGGCUCACCAAGGCGACGAUCGGUAGGUGGUCUGAGAGGACGAUCACCCAGACUGGGACUGAGACACGGCACAGACUCCUACGGGAGGCAGCAGUCGGGAAUUUUGCUCAAUUGGCGCAAGCCUGAAGCAGCAACGCCGCGUGCGGGAUGAAGGCCUUCGGGUUGUAAACCGCUUUUAUCAGGGACGAUGAUGACGGUACCUGAUGAAUAAGUCACGGCUAACUACGUGCCAGCAGCCGCCGUAAGAC
rnacentral:rRNA from 1 species